rnacentral:rRNA from 1 species
AUUGAACGCUGGCGGCAGGCCUAACACAUGCAAGUCGAGCGGGGUUUUCGGACCUAGCGGCGGACGGGUGAGUAAUGCGUAGGAAGCUGCCCGAUAGAGGGGGAUACCAGUUGGAAACGACUGUUAAUACCGCAUAAUGUCUACGGGCCAAAGUGUGGGACCUUCGGGCCACAUGCUAUCGGAUGCGCCUACGUGGGAUUAGCUAGUUGGUGAGGUAAUGGCUCACCAAGGCGACGAUCUCUAGCUGGUUUGAGAGGAUGCUCAGCCACACUGGAACUGAGACACGGUCCAGACUCCUACGGGAGGCAGCAGUGGGGAAUAUUGGACAAUGGGCGCAAGCCUGAUCCAGCCAUGCCGCGUGUGUGAAGAAGGCCUUCGGGUUGUAAAGCACUUUCAGCGAGGAGGAAGGGUGGUGUGUUAAUAGCACAUCAUUUUGACGUUACUCGCAGAAGAAGCACCGGCUAACUCUGUGCCAGCCGCCGCGGUAACAC